AUUCGACACGAUUCAAUUUGCCGCAUUUCAGAUGAACGUAAUUCAAUUUGGCACGAUUCAAUUAAACAACUUAAAGGCUUUAUAUUCCAAGAACUUGUAGAAUCUUCAAGCGUCUUUAGGGACAUCUGUCAUGGAGCGCUCUCUAUGGCGCGUUUUCGUCUAAAUGUACGAAUUGCAACUAUUUCCGUCUAUGGCCU